rnacentral:rRNA from 1 species
GGUGUCGCGGAAUGUGGUGUUUAGGAGGACCGUGCGCGUCUGUCCGGUAUCGUCCAAGUCUCCAUGAAUGGGGCCAGCAACCCAGAGAGGGUGUCAGGCCCGUAGGACUGAGCCGCGACGGCGUAUUGGGUCUCUCCUUAGAGUCGGGUUGCUUGAGAGUGCAGCCCUAAGUGGGAGGUAAACUCCUUCUAAGGCUAAAUACGGCCACGAGACCGAUAGCGAACAAGUACCGCGAGGGAAAGUUGAAAAGAACUUUGAAGAGAGAGUUCAAUAGUGCGUGAAACCGUUCAGGGGGUUAAACGGGUGGGCCCUCGAAGGUCGAACGCUCCCUACUCGCGUCUCCGCUCGUCGGUCCGUGCCGCUUUUCCGAUCUCGCUACGGGACGGAGCGGUGCGGUAACUGGUGCGAGCGGGGGCGUUUAGUUAGGGGGCCAGUAGGACUCCGCAACCGUCUGGAGCAGUCGUCAGAAGGGCUCUGGUAGAAAGCCUCCUCGCGGGGUGGACUCCGGGGUUCCGGGCGAUCUCUCCGGCCGUGAACCGGCAUUCCUCUCGGCUGGCGUCCGUGACGAGCUUCCCCUUCACGGGGGGAGUUGUCGGUUGCGGGCGUCACCGGGGGACGCUAGCGGAGAGUAGAGUCGGGUCCCACCCGACCCGUCUUGAAACACGGACCAAGGAGUCUAACAUGUGCGCGAGUCGUCGG